AUUGAACGCUGGCGGCAGGCCUAACACAUGCAAGUCGAACGGUAACAGGAAGAAGCUUGCUUCUUUGCUGACGAGUGGCGGACGGGUGAGUAAUGUCUGGGAAACUGCCUGAUUGAGGGGGAUAACUACUGGAAACGGUAGCUAAUACCGCAUAAUGUCGCAAGACCAAAGAGGGGGACCUUCGGGCCUCUUGCCGUCGUAUGUUCCCAGAUGGGAUUAGCUAGUAGGUGGGGUAACGGCUCACCUAGGCGACCAUCCCUAGCUGGUCUGAGAGGAUGACCAGCCACACUGGAACUGAGCCACGGUCAAGACGCCUACGGGAGGCAGCAGUGGGGAAUAUUGCACAAUGGGCGCAAGCCUGAUGCAGCUAUGCCGAGUGUAUGAAGAAGGCCUUCGGGUUGUAAAGUACUUUCAGCGGGGAGGAAGGGAGUAAAGUUAAUACCUUUGCUCAUUGACGGUACUCGCAGAAGAAGCACCGGCUAACUACGUG
rnacentral:rRNA from 1 species